UGUGAUGGCAGCCCUAGGAAACUAAUGUUAAGUGUCAAAUGAAUCAUAGAAAAAUAAUUCAGUGCUGAACAAGACCAGUUACUGGAGAGAUUUCUGGCAUUGUACAAUUGAUGGGUGACAUUAGGAAGAUAGACCCAUUUUUAGGGUCAUAAUCACAGUUUUAUGCACAGUUUAUAAUUGCAUCGUGUUAAGAUAGGAUACCAAAGGCCAGCCUGUGAGCACAAGGCAUCUUUAGUUCCAUGAGUAUAAUAAGCAAAUGUUUCCUCUGCUGAAACUACAGCCCUGCCCUUGUGUGGUGCCUGCACCUUGAUUUUUUUUUUUUCAGUCAUCUCUAUAGCUUUUCUCUCCUUGGAAAGGUUCCAUCUGCUUUACAACGAUAGUGUUUACUUAGCUGGCUUCCUAGGUUGGAGUAACAGGAGGGAAGAAGAGAAAUUAUUGUAAUUUUUUAGUCUUAAGCUAAAUCUUGAUAUUACUGUCAUAACCCUGGCAAGCAGUUUUCCUGUGAUAGUGUUAUAAGAAAUCUCAACCAUUAAGUAGCAACCACAAUUGUAUUCUCAUUCCCACUAUCUUUUUUUUUCCUUCUUGUUUUGGGUGUUUCUCUGCUGGAGGCAAACUGAGCUCCUGAAUCAUUAGGAUGGACGCGCCAUCAACAGAAUCUGCUUUUAGUGGAAUGGGUCUUCGGAUAAUCUGUUUUCAUCACAUCAAGAGCUAAGCCAGUCAGUUAACACAGAGGAAAUAUUAAAGGCAGUAUUUUUUCAUUAAGCAACCAGCAAGCACUUUAUGGAACUUAAGAAAGGAAGACCCCACAAGUGGACGAAGCUGAGUUAUGUUCUGCUCCCCCCACCCAGAUACAUACAACAGGACUGCCUAUCACAUGCCAACCAGUGCAACUGAAGGAGAAGCCAUUUAACAAGUAGCAAAUAAGAAUGAAGUUGAACUAUGAUAGGAUAAAAUACUUCUCUGCAAGGAAAAAAAGAGACUAUGCAAUCAUUAUCCCAAGAAACAAAAUAGGAAAGGACAAGCUUAAAGUGUGACUUUGUUCUGGAAAGCAUUUGUAAGUAAAUGCAUUCACAAUUAAAUAAAAACCAUAUGUGCUAUUACCUAUGGAA